rnacentral:rRNA from 1 species
CCUACGGGAGGCAGCAGUGGGGAAUAUUGCACAAUGGGGGAAACCCUGAUGCAGCGACGCCGCGUGAGUGAAGAAGUAAUUCGUUAUGUGAAGCUCUAUCAGCAGGGAAGAAAAUGACGGUACCUGAGUAAGAAGCCCCGGCUAACUACGUGCAAGCAGCCGCGGGAAUACGUAGGGGGCAAGCGUUAUCCGGAUUUACUGGGGGUAAAGGGAGCGUAGACGGGAGUGGAGGUCUGGAGUGAAAGGGGGGGGGUCAAACCCCGGACUGCUCUGGAAACUGGACGGCUGGAGUGCAGGAGAGGAAGGCGGAAUGCGUGGGGUAGCGGUGAAAUGCGUAGAUAUUAGGAAGAAC